rnacentral:miRNA from 1 species
UGGUUCAAACGUCAGUUUGAAUUCUGCCAGGAAUUCCUGGGAAUUCCUGGGAAUUACCAGGAAUUCCUGGCAGAAUUCAAACUGACGUUUGAACC